CACCAAUCUUUCUCUCUCCAGCUUUUCGGAAAUGUCCGAACAGCCGCGUGGUCGUACCUAUCACCUUGUGCCAGAGAGCAUCUUUUGGGAGCUCCCACGAGUAUUCACAUGUCGCCACCUGGCGCCACUAAACAAUGAACACCC
ensembl:ncRNA ZC190.11 ncRNA